rnacentral:lncRNA from 1 species
UGAAGUCUGUCCGAAGCUGAGCCAACUUCGCUUUUGUAAGCGUAUUCCGCCUCGGCAAUGGGACACCAACCCGAAUGUCUACUCCCUCUGAAAUUGAAGCCCCAGCUAUACCCACGGACCCUGAUGGUGACGCCUGGUUACUCGAACCCACCUCUUGCGUAUGAGGCAAGGCUAGAACCCGGUUCGCUAUAGCCUCUAACUCUAUGUAAUUCCUCUGCAUCUCCCUAUAUGCAGCCGACCCAGAGUCUACUGAUGGCUCAC